UAUUUCCCGAUUUUGAGAGGAGUUAAUAAUUUAUUUUAGUUACUGUUUUAUUAGUAUUAAUGAUAUGUUAUUGGUAGUGAAAUGUUAUUCGUCUUUGUUGGUAUCUGGUUUUCCGAGAAAUGAAUUCAAUUCAUGCGUCUUGUUAUAAAUUUAUUAUUUUUAUAUUGGGUUUUAAUGUGUCGUUAAGAUUAAGGGGGAUUAGCUCCUUUUUUUAUUAUUAUAAUUUUUAUGUGUUUUUAAUUUUUGUUGAUUUUAUAGUGAUUUUCUAUUUGAUUAUGUUAAAAUUUUAUUUAUCGUUUGUUUUAUUUGUUUGUUGUUUAAUAUUAUAUUGGAAUGUUAUUUUUAAUUUUUGUUGAUUUGUAAUUAUUGUGUAAUUAGUAAAUUUGUUUUUUAUUUUGUCUAAUUAGCUUUGAUAAUUUCUUUUGAGGAAUUAGGCAAAUAUUGUUGUGUCCGCCUGUUUAACAAAAACAUCUUUUCUUGUUAGUUUUUGAAGUAUGGCCUGCCCACUGAGUAUUUUUGAAGGGCCGCGGUAUUUUGACCGUGCAAAGGUAGCAUAAUCAUUAGUUCUUUAAUUGUGAUCUGGAAUGAAUGGCUUGACGAGAUGCAAGCUGUCUUAGGUUUGGUGAAAUUUUAGUUGAAUUUGGUUUCUGGGUUAAAAUACUCAGAUUUUUUUAUGGGACGAGAAGACCCUAUAGAGUUUUACAUUUUUAUUUGUUGUUAUUGUUUAGUUUGAUUUUCGUUUCUUAAAUAAGUUUAUUGUGUUUUGUUGGGGUGAUGGGAAGAAUUUGUUUAACUCUUCUUUAUUUUGUAUACACUUAUUUGUGUUAUUAUGAU
rnacentral:rRNA from 1 species